ncrna:Caenorhabditis briggsae microRNA cbr-mir-242 precursor
AAAAGAAUAUUGCGUAGGCCUUUGUUUCGAAAGACCCAAAAAUUGUUCGCAGCAAUCUCCUUCGCAAUAUUUUUUG